rnacentral:rRNA from 1 species
ACACGCAUGACACACUGCAUAUCAAUAAGCGGAGGAAAAGAAACUAACAAGGAUUCCCUUAGUAACGGCGAGUGAAGCGGGAAGAGCUCAAAUUAGAAAUCUUCAAGGUUCUACCUUGACGAAUUGUAGUUUAUAGAAGUGUUUUCUGUUAGUGGAGUGGCAAAAGUUCUUUGGAAUAGGACAUCAUAGAGGGUGAGAAUCCCGUAUUUGGUCAUUCCUCCUAGCGUUGUGAUACACUUUCAACGAGUCGGAUUGUUUGGGAAUGCAGUCCAAAAUGGGUGGUAAAUUUCAUCUAAAGCUAAAUAUUGGCGAGAGACCGAUAGCGAACAAGUACCGUGAGGGAAAGAUGAAAAGAACUUUGAAAAGAGAGUUAAACAGUACGUGAAAUUGUCAAAAGGGAAGCGUUUGACACCAGUGUUGUUUUUCCGAAAAUCAAUUACGAAUGUUUUGUUUUUGAGGAGUUAUGACUUCAUCGGCUUGCUCCUUUCUUUAUGAAACUUUCUUAAUGCACUUUUCGGUUAACAAGUCAACAUCAAUUUCUUUUGUUGUAAAAGGGUAUGAGGAAGGUGGCUUUCUUUUCGGAGAAAGUGUUUAUAGCCUUGUGCCUCUGCAAUCGGAGAGAUUGAGGUCUGCAGCGUAGAUCCUUCGGGGUUAGAUACAUUUGUGCUAGGUUAUAGCUUGUCAUAGACAACUUGUUGACUAUGUUUAGUCAUUGUAGCUUACUCGCUUACGCUAUUUUACCUACGCUUAGGAUGUUGAAGAUGUAGCACAUCAU